UACGUAGGGUCCAAGCGUUGUCCGGAAUUAUUGGGCGUAAAGAGCUCGUAGGCGGUGUGUCGCGUCGGAUGUGAAAGCCCGGGGCUUAACCCCGGGUCUGCAUUCGGUACGGGCAUGCUGGAGUUCGGUAGGGGAGACUGGAAUUCCUGGUGUAGCGGUGAAAUGCGCAGAGUAUCAGGAGGAACACCGGUGGCGAAGGCAGCUCGCUGGGC
rnacentral:rRNA from 1 species